rnacentral:rRNA from 1 species
UACGUAGGGUGCGAGCGUUGUCCGGAAUUAUUGGGCGUAAAGGGCUCGUAGGCGGUCUGUCGCGUCAGGAGUGAAAACUCGGGGCUUAACCCCGAGCCUGCUUCUGAUACGGGCAGACUAGAGGUAUGCAGGGGAGAACGGAAUUCCUGGUGUAGCGGUGAAAUGCGCAGAUAUCAGGAGGAACACCGGUGGCGAAGGCGGGUCUCUGGGCCGUAACUGACGCUGAGGAGCGAAAGCGGUGGGAGCAACAGG